rnacentral:rRNA from 1 species
GGUGAACGCUGGCGGCGUGCCUAAUACAUGCAAGUCGAGCGAACGGACGAGAAGCUUGCUUCUCUGAUGUUAGCGGCGGACGGGUGAGUAACACGUGGAUAACCUACCUAUAAGACUGGGAUAACUUCGGGAAACCGGAGCUAAUACCGGAUAAUAUUUUGAACCGCAUGGUUCAAAAGCGAAAGACGGUCUUGCUGUCACUUAUAGAUGGAUCCGCGCUGCAUUAGCUAGUUGGUAAGGUAACGGCUUACCAAGGCAACGAUGCAUAGCCGACCUGAGAGGGUGAUCGGCCACACUGGAACUGAGACACGGUCCAGACUCCUACGGGAGGCAGCAGUAGGGAAUCUUCCGCAAUGGGCGAAAGCCUGACGGAGCAACGCCGCGUGAGUGAUGAAGGUCUUCGGAUCGUAAAACUCUGUUAUUAGGGAAGAACAUAUGUGUAAGUAACUGUGCACAUCUUGACGGUACCUAAUCAGAAAGCCACGGCUAACUACGUG